UGUGACCUCAAAUCAGGUAGGACUACCCGCUGAACUUAAGCAUAUCAAUAAGCGGAGGAAAAGAAACUAACAAGGAUUCCCCUAGUAACUGCGAGUGAAGCGGGAAAAGCUCAAAUUUAAAAUCUGGCAGUCUUUGGCUGUCCGAGUUGUAAACUAGAGAAGUGUUAUCCGCGCUGGACCGUGUACAAGUCUCCUGGAAUGGAGCGUCAUAGAGGGUGAGAAUCCCGUCUUGACACGGACUACCAGGGCUUGUGAUGCGCUCUCAAAGAGUCGGGUUGUUUGGGAAUGCAGCUCAAAAUGGGUGGUAAAUUCCAUCUAAAGCUAAAUAUUGGCGAGAGACCGAUAGCGAACAAGUACCGUGAGGGAAAGAUGAAAAGAACUUUGGAAAGAGAGUUAAACAGUACGUGAAAUUGCUGAAAGGGAAACGCUUGAAGUCAGUCGCGUUGUCCAGGGAUCAACCUUGCUUUUGCUUGGUGUACUUUCUGGUUGACGGGUCAGCAUCAAUUUUGACUAUUGGAAAAAGAUUAGGGGAAUGUGACAUCUUCGGAUGUGUUAUAGCCCUUGGUUGCAUACAAUGGUUGGGAUUGAGGAACUCAGCACGCCGCAAGGCCGGGUAAUCUUACCACGUACGUGCUUAGGAUGCUGGCAUAAUGGCUUUAAUCGACCCGUCUUGAAACACGGACCAAGGAGUCUAACAUGCCUGCGAGUGUUUGGGUGGAAAACCCGAGCGCGUAAUGAAAGUGAAAGUUGAGAUCCCUGUCGUGGGGAGCAUCGACGCCCGGACCAGACCUUUUGUGACGGUUCCGCGGUAGAGCAUGUAUGUUGGGACCCGAAAGAUGGUGAACUAUGCCUGAAUAGGGUGAAGCCAGAGGAAACUCUGGUGGAGGCUCGUAGCGAUUCUGACGUGCAAAUCGAUCGUCAAAUUUGGGUAUAGGGGCGAAAG
rnacentral:rRNA from 1 species